rnacentral:rRNA from 1 species
UACGGGGGGGGCAAGCGUUGUUCGGAAUUACUGGGCGUAAAGGGCUCGUAGGCGGCCAACUAAGUCGGACGUGAAAUCCCCAGGCUCAACCUGGGAACUGCGUCCGAUACUGGAUGGCUUGAAUUCGGGAGAGGGAUGCAGAAUUCCAGGUGUAGCGGUGAAAUGCGUAGAUAUCAGGAGGAACACCGGUGGCGAAGGCGGCUUGCUGGGCCAGUUCUGACGCUGAGGAGCGAAAGCGUGGGGAGCGAACAGG